rnacentral:lncRNA from 1 species
AAGAAACACUCUUCACGGUUAAACAUCGUUAUUGCUAAGACGCAAAUCUUAGAAAAUGUAUUAGUUUUUCGUACAAUCUACGUUGGGGUCGUGUAACUUACAUGUAUGAAAAUGCUGCAAACGGCCGAUGAAGAAACAUUUUUUGCGGAUUAUUAUAAACCAUCUUACUUUUGUAGAUCUCGAAAUAGAUCAAAAUAUAAUUUUAAACAUCAGUUUAAGAACAUUUGUGAAAUUUUCAAGAGCGGAGACGGUGGUAGUCAUGCUAUUUGGGAGUGUCCUUUAUGCCUAGCUGAGCUCACACCAGAUGAUUUUUGUGAAUUGAACGCUUGUGGACAUAGAGCGUGUAUAACGUGCUUCCAGCAUUACUUGCGAGUAGAAAUUACCGAAUCCAGAGUGUGCAUUUCUUGUCCAGAAUGUUUGGAACCAAUGCACCCAAAUGGUAAGCUCAAACUAAUUUUUAGUUUUCAUCUAAGUAUGUUUCGACUGAAGUUUAGAUCCUGCGACUGAUGCAGGUUAAAUGAUAUGACCGGUUUUAUCUUGCGUUAUUCAUAUAAUGAACAAUAAAAUAUCAAACAUUACUGAAUGUCAUUUGUUGAAUGCUAUUCCCUACGUUUUUUAUGGCUUAUAACUUCAAUAAUUUUCGAGUGUAGAAUGAGAUACAAUAGGUACAUUCGUUUUCGAGCCAUACGUUAAUUUUUCGAUCUUCGUUGAUACAUUCGUAUAAAGGGCAACCGAAAGGUGGAGAAAAAAGAACACAACUUUAAAAGAUACAUCGUUUUAUUUGACGUUCAGGGCAUUUCAAAUUUAUAAAUACGCGAUCGAAAAUAAGUAUACUUACGAUAUUCAUUAGUUUUAGUGUAUCUAUAUUAAUUCAAAUUUUGCUUACCUAAGAAUAGACACAUACUUAUUGGCUAUUAUUAAUUAUUUUAUUAAAAGUAGAUAUGCAGGUUUGUAUCAAAAUUAAUUAUUUAUGGGCUUCGGAAAACGACACUAUAAAUAAUCUUAUGUAAAAUUCUAAUAAAAGAUGUUCUAAUAAAGCUGAAGUUGAAAAACAUUCAGGGACAAAAAAUAAAUGUAUGGUCUCUUGGCAUAUUUCUGGAAACUCGGAAUAUCAGUCUUACGAUAUUUUUUUGGCUAAUGCCCAAUUUUGUUCUCUUGAAACCGACUCGUAUGUUAUCGUUUAGGAUAUCCCAAUAGUAACAUGUUGAAUGCGUGACACCCUGUACAUUGUUUAACAGAAACUUAUGCAGUAUGCCAUUAUCUGUUUCAGGGUUUUUUCCACUUUAUACAGUGUAACUUACAUUCUAUAUUUAUCAGCACGUUAAUGAUGAAAAUCUCCACAUACAUUAAAUGUCACCCUGAGUGCUGAUUCAUUAACAUUUGUGACGCACUUUGCAUCUUUUUCUAAUCUGUGCGAAGUGUUAAUAAAUAAUUACAAGUUUUAAACAGUAGUAAAUGUUUUUAUUUAAAGCCAACACAAUUAACAUUCUCUGUAUUGAUAGUGAGUCAACGGCAGAUGUAAAUUUGUAUGGCCCAUCUCUUGGCGAUAUUCAAUCAUUCAUUACACUUGAGGACGCAAGUGUUGAGUUCAAUUUUAAACCGUUUACACCAUUUUACACUAUUUUAGACCAUUUUAAACUCGUUUAGUCUGUUCGUGAUGUUAUUUUAAUUAAACUUAUGGAGUUGGAGAUGCUCACAGGUGGAUGAUUGACGAAGGCCCUGAUGACGAUUGAAUAAGUCGAAAGCGCUAGGCCGAAUGUACCUUUGAAGGCUUGAAAAAUACCGUUCAUUAUACACUUCAAUACAAAAAAAAACUGAUUCUUUGAUUUAAUGUUCAAUAGCUUUUUUCUCUUUUCAUAAAUCGCUAACUAACAUGUCAGGCAAAGAAGAACGUGAAUGUAGUUGUGCGUAUAUCCAAAAUUGAAACCCGAUUUUUGUUUAAACGCUGGACAUGCCUGCUAUUAUGAAUGCUGAUUCAUCAAGGAUCUCACUUCUUCUCUAUAGAGGCAUCCAUGUACGAGGGCGGUCCGAUAAGUACUUAGCCUAAAAAAACCGAAAAUUUUGGGAAAGUGGCAAACAUAGUCUUUUUUAAUGGGACCCACUUAACCCAGCGAUGCUCCACCUUUUUUAACCCGUCUGAAAAAUAGGAUUUCUUGCGGUUUGCGCCGUGGUGGCGAUCCUCAUUCGACUGAAAUUUCUGCCUGGCGAGUGACUUUUUCAAGUUUGGAAACAAAGAAGUCACACGGGGUCAAAUCUGGAUAAUACGGUGGAUGGCGUAGCAGUUCGUAAUCCAAUUCGACCCAUUUGGUCCUUGCGACGGCGAGGUUGUCAUGGUGGAAGAGCACUUUUCCGGAAUCGGCCCAAUAAUGCUGUAUAGUAGAGCCCUGUGAUCGGUUUUUCCUAGUAUCGGUAGUCGAUGUAGAUCACGCCUUGUGAAUCCCAAAAAACGGUUGCAUCACAUUUCCAGGAGAGGAUCAUGGGGGCCUCACUCAAAUAGUCAAGGUCAGACCAAGAUUUUGAUUGUCGUUAGCGCCACC